UCGGGAAUUUUGGGCAAUGGGCGAAAGCCUGACCCAGCAACGCCGCGUGAGGGAUGAAGUAUUUCGGUAUGUAAACCUCGAAGGAAUGGGAAGAAUAAAUGACGGUACCAUUUAUAAGCUCCGGCUAACUACGUGCCAGCAGCCGCGGUAAUACGUAGGGAGCAAGCGUUGUUCGGAUUUACUGGGCGUAAAGGGCGCGUAGGCGGCGCGGUAAGUCACUUGUGAAAUCUCUGAGCUUAACUCAGAACGGCCAAGUGAUACUGCUGUGCUAGAGUGCGGAAGAGGCAACCGGAAUUCUUGGUGUAGCGGUGAAAUGCGUAGAUAUCAAGAGGAACACCUGAGGCGAAGGCGGGUUGCUGGGCCGACACUGACGCUGAUGCGCGAAAGCCAGGGGAGCAAACG
rnacentral:rRNA from 1 species